rnacentral:lncRNA from 1 species
UCGAUUGGCCACCCCAGAGCCCGGGUCACAGAGCUGACAUCGAUUGGCCACCCCAGAGCCCGGGUCACAGAGCUGACAUCGGUUGGCCACCCCAGAGCCCGGGUCACAGAGCUGACAUCGAUUGGCCACCCCAGAGCCCAGCUUUGCGACCCCCUGGGUAAACGUUCUGCAGUUUGGAAAGCACAGCCCUAGAAUAUUGUCCUCCCUGCAUUUCCACACCCAUCUCUGAUUCUUCUCCAUCCUUCUCCUUCUUUAAGAGAAGAACUGAUGCAAUAAUGGCUUUCCAACCCCUAAGGCUAAACGCAGCACCCUAAGGAAAGGCUCAGGUGAGAGGAGGUUCAAGGUUAAAAGUCAUUCAAGGAGUACCCACUGACUAUUUAUAAUGUUUAACUGGUAUUGGGCAGACUGUCAUACCUAGGGACUAUAUGGCCACCAUCUGGGUACUACCAGCAACUGCUUUCACGUGAAAAAAAGAUUUCCAGAAGAAACGGGAAGAAUUCCAAGACAGCAUUAGAAAGCGUCUCAACAGUAGGCAUAGGGAUUCUGCGGUAGCUCUGUAGAGACUUCUGUUAUAACCACUCUGAUCUUUGCACAUCAAAAAUCCAAGAUAAAUCCUGAUAAAAUGACCAGUUGAUGGUUAUACAAAUAGGCUCUGGGGUUCUAGGCUUGGAUUUACCAUGAUUUUACUGUGCAUUCAUGGGAACAUGACUCAACCCUCAGAGCCAAAUCCCUUAAGGUCCAAGAAGGAGACUUUUUCUCCAAAAGGAAUUCUUCCAAAAGAGAAGCCAAUUCAGUGCUUUGCUCUAAUUUCUCUCCUCAUUAUUCAAACUGUUUUGGAGAAUCUUCCUAAUCUUUUAAUCCCUGUUCAAAUCCCUUGCCCUAUAUUAAGCACAAAAAGAGGUCUCCUUCUUUUCUCUGAGUCCCUAUAACAAUAAUUAUGUGUGCAAUUUGUUUCACAAUUAAUCCUAGAAGGUCUAUGUAUUGUUGUUCUGAACUGUUAUCUCAAUAUUGUGGUGGUGAUGGUGAACUUUUCAUACAUCCCUCCAGUGUUCAGAGGUGGACCAGAAAUAUCUGCAGGGCAGGAAACUCUUCUACAUCUUCCUACAGGGGACCACAUGGGUUCUGGCACAUAGUAGGUCCUCAGGAGACAUUUGUUGAAUUUUUCUUUCAAGCUCCUCAUCGGUUUUUUCCUUUAAUUCCCAUGGAAGGGAAGAGCAAUACCGACCCCAUGGAGCUGGGCUGAGGUUCAGCCAGUUCACGCAAAGUACAGAACAUGGCACAUGGCAGGCCACAGUUGGAAACUGACACAUGCCUCCCACCG